rnacentral:rRNA from 1 species
UACGUAGGGGCAAGCGUUGUCCGGAAUCAUUGGGCGUAAAGCGCGUGUAGGCGGCCAGCACAAGUCAGUUGUGAAAUCUCCGAGCUUAACUCGGAAAGGUCAACUGAUACUGUGCGGCUAGAGUGCGGAAGGGGCAACUGGAAUUCUCGGUGUAGCGGUGAAAUGCGUAGAUAUCGAGAGGAACACCUGCGGCGAAGGCGGGUUGCUGGGCUGACACUGACGCUGAUGCGCGAAAGCCAGGGGAGCGAACGGG